rnacentral:rRNA from 1 species
UCUUGGUCAUUUAGAGGAAGUAAAAGUCGUAACAAGGUUUCCGUAGGUGAACCUGCGGAAGGAUCAUUAAAGAAAUUUAAUAAUUUUGAAAAUGGAUUUUUUUGUUUUGGCAAGAGCAUGAAAGCUUUUACUGGGCAAGAAGACAAGAGAUGGAGAGUCCAGCCGGGCCUGCGCUUAAGUGCGCGGUCUUGCUAGGCUUGUAAGUUUCUUUCUUGCUAUUCCAAACGGUGAGAGAUUUCUGUGCUUUUGUUAUAGGACAAUUAAAACCGUUUCAAUACAACACACUGUGGAGUUUUCAUAUCUUUGCAACUUUUUCUUUGGGCAUUCGAGCAAUCGGGGCCCAGAGGUAACAAACACAAACAAUUUUAUCUAUUCAUUAAAUUUUUGUCAAAAACAAGAAUUUUCGUAACUGGAAAUUUUAAAAUAUUAAAAACUUUCAACAACGGAUCUCUUGGUUCUCGCAUCGAUGAAGAACGCAGCGAAAUGCGAUACGUAAUGUGAAUUGCAGAAUUCCGUGAAUCAUCGAAUCUUUGAACGCACAUUGCGCCCCUUGGUAUUCCAGGGGGCAUGCCUGUUUGAGCGUCAUUUCCUUCUCAAACAUUCUGUUUGGUAGUGAGUGAUACUCUUUGGAGUUAACUUGAAAUUGCUGGCCUUUUCAUUGGAUGUUUUUUUUCCAAAGAGAGGUUUCUCUGCGUGCUUGAGGUAUAAUGCAAGUACGGUCGUUUUAGGUUUUACCAACUGCGGCUAAUCUUUUUUUAUACUGAGCGUAUUGGAACGUUAUCGAUAAGAAGAGAGCGUCUAGGCGAACAAUGUUCUUAAAGUUUGACCUCAAAUCAGGUAGGAGUACCCGCUGAACUUAAGCAUAUCAAUAAGCGGAG